rnacentral:rRNA from 1 species
GGAAUUUUGGGCAAUGGGGGAAACCCUGACCCAGCAACGCCGCGUGUGGGAUGCAGGCUCUCGGGUCGUAAACCACUGUCAGGAGGGAAGAACUGCGGUCCAGAUAAUACCUGGGCCGUUUGACGGUACCUCCAACGGAAGCACCGGCUAACUCCGUGCCAGCAGCCGCGGUAAUACGGAGGGUGCAAGCGUUGUUCGGAAUUACUGGGCGUAAAGAGCGUGUAGGCGGCUCGGAAAGUCGAAUGUGAAAUCCCCAGGCUCAACCUGGGAACUGCAUCCGAAACUUCCAAGCUAGGGUCCCGGAGAGGAAGGCAGAAUUCCCAAUGUAGGGGUGAAAUCCGUAGAUAUUGGGAGGAAUACCAGUGGCGAAGGCGGCCUUCUGGACGGUGACUGACGCUGAGACGCGAAAGCGUGGGGAGCAAAC